UGGGGAAUUUUGGACAAUGGGCGCAAGCCUGAUCCAGCAAUGCCGCGUGCAGGAUGAAGGCCUUCGGGUUGUAAACUGCUUUUGUACGGAACGAAAAGCCUCUCUCUAAUACAGGGGGUGAUGACGGUACCGUAAGAAUAAGCACCGGCUAACUACGUGCCAGCAGCCGCGGUAAUACGUAGGGUGCAAGCGUUAAUCGGAAUUACUGGGCGUAAAGCGUGCGCAGGCGGUUUUGUAAGACAGUGGUGAAAUCCCCGGGCUCAACCUGGGAACUGCCAUUGUGACUGCAAGGCUGGAGUGCGGCAGAGGGGGAUGGAAUUCCGCGUGUAGCAGUGAAAUGCGUAGAUAUGCGGAGGAACACCGAUGGCGAAGGCAAUCCCCUGGGCCUGCACUGACGCUCAUGCACGAAAGCGUGGGGAGCAAACAGGAUUAGAUACCCUGGUAGUCCACGCCCUAAACGAUGUCAACUGGUUGUUGGGGAUUUAUUUCUUCAGUAACGAAGCUAACGCGUGAAGUUGACCGCCUGGGGGAAUUACGGCC
rnacentral:rRNA from 1 species